rnacentral:rRNA from 1 species
GGCGAACGCUGGCGGCGUGCUUAACACAUGCAAGUCGAACGGAAAGGCCCUGCUUUUGUGGGGUGCUCGAGUGGCGAACGGGUGAGUAACACGUGAGUAACCUGCCCUUGACUUUGGGAUAACUUCAGGAAACUGGGGCUAAUACCGGAUAGGAGCUCCUGCUGCAUGGUGGGGGUUGGAAAGUUUCGGCGGUUGGGGAUGGACUCGCGGCUUAUCAGCUUGUUGGUGGGGUAGUGGCUUACCAAGGCUUUGACGGGUAGCCGGCCUGAGAGGGUGACCGGCCACAUUGGGACUGAGAUACGGCCCAGACUCCUACGGGAGGCAGCAGUGGGGAAUAUUGCACAAUGGGCGGAAGCCUGAUGCAGCAACGCCGCGUGCGGGAUGACGGCCUUCGGGUUGUAAACCGCUUUCGCCUGUGACGAAGCGUGAGUGAUGGUAAUGGGUAAAGAAGCACCGGCUAACUACGUG